GCUGGCGGCAUGCCUUACACAUGCAAGUCGAACGGUAACAGGUCUUCGGAUGCUGACGAGUGGCGAACGGGUGAGUAAUACAUCGGAACGUGCCCAGUAAUGGGGGAUAGCUCGGCGAAAGCCGGAUUAAUACCGCAUACGCCCUGAGGGGGAAAGUGGGGGACCGCAAGGCCUCACGUUAUUGGAGCGGCCGAUGGCUGAUUAGCUAGUUGGUAGGGUAAAGGCCUACCAAGGCGACGAUCAGUAGCUGGUCUGAGAGGACGAUCAGCCACACUGGGACUGAGACACGGCCCAGACUCCUACGGGAGGCAGCAGUGGGGAAUUUUGGACAAUGGGGGAAACCCUGAUCCAGCAAUGCCGCGUGUGCGAAGAAGGCCUUCGGGUUGUAAAGCACUUUUGUCAGGGAAGAAAUCCUUUGGGCUAAUACCCUAGGGGGAUGACGGUACCUGAAGAAUAAGCACCGGCUAACUACGUGCCAGCAGCCGCGGUAAUACGUAGGGUGCAAGCGUUAAUCGGAAUUACUGGGCGUAAAGCGUGCGCAGGCGGUUGUGUAAGACAGGUGUGAAAUCCCCGGGCUUAACCUGGGAGUUGCAUUUGUGACUGCACGACUAGAGUGUGUCAGAGGGGGGUGGAAUUCCACGUGUAGCAGUGAAAUGCGUAGAUAUGUGGAGGAACACCAAUGGCGAAGGCAGCCCCCUGGGAUAACACUGACGCUCAUGCACGAAAGCGUGGGGAGCAAACAGGAUUAGAUACCCUGGUAGUCCACGCCCUAAACGAUGUCAACUAGUUGUUGGGGAUUUACUUCCUUGGUAACGUAGCUAACGCGUGAAGUUGACCGCCUGGGGAGUACGGCCGCAAGGUUAAAACUCAAAGGAACUGACGGGGACCCGCACAAGCGGUGGAUGAUGUGGAUUAAUUCGAUGCAACGCGAAAAACCUUACCUACCCUUGACAUGGCAGGAACUUUCCAGAGAUGGAUUGGUGCUCGAAAGAGAACCUGCACACAGGUGCUGCAUGGCUGUCGUCAGCUCGUGUCGUGAGAUGUUGGGUUAAGUCCCGCAACGAGCGCAACCCUUGUCAUUAGUUGCUACGAAAGGGCACUCUAAUGAGACUGCCGGUGACAAACCGGAGGAAGGUGGGGAUGACGUCAAGUCCUCAUGGCCCUUAUGGGUAGGGCUUCACACGUCAUACAAUGGUCGGUACAGAGGGUUGCCAAGCCGCGAGGUGGAGCCAAUCCCAGAAAACCGAUCGUAGUCCGGAUCGCAGUCUGCAACUCGACUGCGUGAAGUCGGAAUCGCUAGUAAUCGCGGAUCAGAAUGCCGCGGUGAAUACGUUCCCGGGUCUUGUACACACCGCCCGUCACACCAUGGGAGUGGGUUCUACCAGAAGUGGCUAGUCUAACCGCAAGGAGGACGGUCACCACGGUAGGAUUCAUGACUGGGGU
rnacentral:rRNA from 1 species